GAUGAACGCUGACAGAAUGCUUAACACAUCAGCAAUUGAUUGGUGGCGGACGGGUGAGUAACGCGUAAAGAACUUGCCUCACAGGUAGGGACAAAAUUUGGAAACGAAUGCUAAUACCUAAUACUGUGAGAGAGCUUUGCGUCCCAUUAGCAAGUUGGAGAGGUAACGGCUCACCAAGGCGAUGAUGGGUAGCCGGCCUGAGAGGGUGAUCGGCCACAAGUGGACUGAGACACGGCCCUUACUCAUACGGGAUGCAGCAGGUGGGAAUAGUGGACAAUGUACCAAAUUCUGAUCCAGCAAUUCUGUGUUCACGAUGAAGGUGUCGGAAUGUAAAGUGCUUUCAGUUGGGAAGCGGUACCAACAGAAGAAGUGACGGCUAAAUACGUGCCAGCAGCCGCGGUAAUUC
rnacentral:rRNA from 1 species